rnacentral:rRNA from 1 species
GACGAACGCUGGCGGCGUGCUUAACACAUGCAAGUCGAACGGAAAGGCCCUGAUUUUGUGGGGUGCUCGAGUGGCGAACGGGUGCGUAACACGUGAGUAACCUGCUCUUGACUUUGGGAUAACUUCAGGAAACUGGGGCUACUAUCGGAUAGGAGCUCCUGUUGCAUGGUGGGGGUUGGAAAGUUUCGGCGGUUGUGGAUGGAUUCGCGGCUUAUCAGCUUGUUGGUGGGGUAGUGGCAGACCAAGGCUUUGACGGGUAGCCGGCCUGGGAGGGUGACCGGCGACAAUGGUACUGAGAUACGGCCCAGACUGCUACAUGAGGCAGCAGUGGCGAAUAUUACACAGUGAGCCGAAGCCGGAGACGACGGCGCCGCGGUCGUAAUGACGUCCUGUGGGGUAUGAACCGCUGCCGGUUAUUACGAAGCGUGAGUGACGGUAAUGAAUAAAUAAGCACCGGCUAACUACGUG